rnacentral:lncRNA from 1 species
CCAGGCCAGCUGCCCAGCACUGCACUGCACUGGCGCCCAAGCACGCCGCGCCGCUGCGUCACAGCGGAAAAAAGGUUUUGUCCCGGCCGAAACUGCCGGGUGACCGACCAACCAUACUCCGUACCAACUACCAUCCUGCAGUUUUUACUUCUUCUGGAAACAGUACAGUCCACCGUCUGGUAAUUGUCGUACUGGUACUUCGUCUUACAAAUCGGGAAAACAGGAGUAGGCCUACAGGACGAUGUAAUUAUAGAAUUUAAUGUUGUUUCAAGAACUACCUGAAUCAGCUGUAACACAGACAGUGUUUAGCGUCUUGAGACCAAAUAAUGUUGAAGCUGACAGCGGGAACUAUUUCAGGUCUGCAAGCUGAUUCUUAGUGAUUCAUCAGGUAUGACGGUGCUUAUCAGAGGUUAAUACCGAAAGAAAGACUGAGAAAGAUUCCACUUAAAGCCAAACAUAGAGGAACCAUUUCUUUGGGUUGCUGUUCCCAAGGGCCAAUUACCUCAUGUUCAUCAAGAGGUCACUGCUACAUAUUAACGCUGGUAGACAAUACUGCUACAGUAGCAGAAAUAUUGUAGAGCAUCUACUCAAGGCAAGGAUUUCCUCAUAAAUGCUUGCUGAUAGAGGAACUCCAAUUACCUCAGAGGUAAUGAAGGAAGUUAGCCGACUUUUUUCAAUCCGUAUCAUCCACAGUGUUAGUCCAGGUAGGAGAUAUAUCUUAAUGAAUAGAGUAAAAUUUACUGAGCAAAAUGCUGAAAAUUUGAUCAAAAUCUGAUUACAAAUAACGAAGUUAUUGG